rnacentral:rRNA from 1 species
GACGAACGCUGGCGGCGUGCUUAACACAUGCAAGUCGAACGGAAAGGCCCUGCUUUUGUGGGGUGCUCGAGUGGCGAACGGGUGAGUAACACGUGAGUAACCUGCCCUUGACUUUGGGAUAACUUCAGGAAACUGGGGCUAAUACCGGAUAGGAGCUCCUGCUGCAUGGUGGGGGUUGGAAAGUUUCGGCGGUUGGGGAUGGACUCGCGGCUUAUCAGCUUGUUGGUGGGGUAGUGGCUUACCAAGGCUUUGACGGGUAGCCGGCCUGAGAGGGUGACCGGCCACAUUGGGACUGAGAUACGGCCCAGACUCCUACAGUAGACAACAGUGGGGAAUAUUGCACAAUGGGCGGAAGCCUGAUGCAGCAACGCCGCGUGCGGAAUGACGUCCUUCGGGUUGUAAACCGCUUUCGCCUGUUACGAAGCGUGAGUGACGGUAAUGAGUAAAUAAGCACCGGCUAACUACGUG